UCGUCUGGACAGAGUUAUAUAGUGAAAACUACUGAAAAUGAUCGGUCUACGCGUGCUGUUGUGUAUAUCUCUGCUAGUCGUCCUUAUGAAUAUUUUGGCGGUUAAGGCGGCAUCAGAAAGAGUUUGCUAUCAACCUCCUGUAACUGGUGAGUGUCGUGCUGCCAUUCGGCGAUACUACUUUAAUCCCACUGUGGGGAGGUGCCUAGUAUUUAUUUACGGUGGCUGCGGUGGAAAUAGCAAUAACUUUGUAACUCUAAGGGCUUGUGUAGCUAGAUGCGGUGGAAAGUGAACAACAGCAUAAACACGGAUGUUUUUUUUAUAAACUUAAAUCUAAUUCCUUUUACAUACGGUGGCGGACAAACAAAUAGGAAUGCGAUAUUUUAAAUAAACUUGGGUAAUUUUUUAUUUG